rnacentral:misc_RNA from 1 species
AAAAACCACUGCUGCUGUGGCUCUUAGGCUUUUUGAGCUGGAUGGUUCAAUUACGUACAUUCAGCAUGAAAAGGUUGAGCCUAGUGAAGACAAGCCAGUUAAAGUAUAUAUGAAGCUUCCUUCAAGAUACUCUCUUCUCAAGAGCAAAGAGGUUGAACGGAAACGACUAAAGCAAAGUGAACAUGUCAAAGGAGAUAACGUAACGGACUUGCGUAGCAAACGUAACAGCAAGAAACGCCGGCGGGGAGGCCGUGAUCAAGGAUAUGGUACAAAGUGGCAAAGAAGAGCACCUGGUCUUAAGUCUGAUGCAAAUAGGCGUAAUGCUAGGGAAACUGAGAAAUUCAAUUUAGGAUCAAAACAAGGACGAAAGACAAAUACUCAAGGUUCCAGUCGGGGUCGUCGAACAGUUAGGAAGAGGAGAGCAGAAAUGAUGGUAGCUGAGGAGGCAUUGAUUGGUCGUAUGACCAACACUGUUGGCCCGAAGAAUUAUGGUGGAUCAUUGAGAAACUUGGGCAAGGAAGAUUGGGGCAUUGAAAAAGUGAGGAUGGAUGUGGAUGAUGCUGAUAAUAGUAACAGUAUGGAAGCAGCAGAAUCUGAUGAUAAUGUUGAAGCAGAUGAAUAUGAACAAGUAAACUGGGAUCAAAGUGUUAAUGGAGCUUCCAGUAGAUGGAAUAGAAAUGUAUUGGAAGUGAGUGAUGAUGAUGGAGAUGCUUCUGGAGACGAUAAUGGCAUUGAAGAAAUGGGAGCUGAAGAGUCCGAGGGAGAUGUAGAAAUAAGUGAGGGUUCAGAGGGAGUAGGAAAUAAGAUAGAGAAUGAUGAAGGCACAGACACUGCAGAUUCAGAUGACUAUAUUAGUGACUGAAAAGAGUAUGCUAUUGAUGAAAGUCCCAGCAGCCAUUUGCUCGUGAGCUGCAUUAUUUUUGGCCUUUGCAGCUUAGCCAGCGACUGAAUUUAAGCCUAAGAGAACAAAGAAACAAGGUUGCCCUUUCCAAUUUAUGG